AACGAACGCUGGCGGCGUGGAUAAGACAUGCAAGUCGAGCGGGACACUUCGGGUAGCAAUAUUCGGAGUGUUCAGCGGCGCAAGGGUGCGUAACACGUGGGUAAUCUGCCGUGAAGCCUGGAAUAACUCGCUGAAAGGCGAGCUAAUACCGGAUGUGAAGUUUGGAAGGCAUCUUUUGGACUUCAAAGCUGGGGACCGUAAGGCCUGGCACUUCACGAUGAGCCCGCGGCCUAUCAGCUAGUUGGUGAGGUAACGGCUCACCAAGGCUAAGACGGGUAGCUGGUCUGAGAGGACGACCAGCCACACUGGAACUGAGACACGGUCCAGACACCUACGGGUGGCAGCAGUCGAGAAUUUUUUCACAAUGGGCGAAAGCCUGAUGGAGCGACGCCGCGUGGGGGAUGAAUGGCUUCGGCCCCGUAAACCCCUGUCAUUUGCGAACAAGUUGUUUCACCUAACACGUGAAGCAUUGAUAGUAGACGAAA
rnacentral:rRNA from 1 species